rnacentral:rRNA from 1 species
UCUUCGGCAAUGGGCGCAAGCCUGACCGAGCGACGCCGCGUGCGGGAUGAAGGCCUUCGGGUUGUAAACCGCUGUCGUAGAGGAGGAAGUGCAGGAGGGUUCUCCCUCCUGUUUGACCUAUUCUAGGAGGAAGGACGGGCUAAGUUCGUGCCAGCAGCCGCGGUAAGACGAACCGUCCAAACGUUACUCGGAAUUACUGGGCUUAAAGGGUGCGUAGGCUGCGCGGAAAGCCGGAUGUGAAAGCCCUCAGCUCAACUGGGGAAUUGCACUCGAAACUACCGUGCUCGAGGGAGACAGAGGUAAGCGGAACUCAAGGUGGAGCGGUGAAAUGCGUUGAUAUCUUGAGGAACACCGGUGGCGAAGGCGGCUUACUGGGUCUCUUCUGACGCUGAGGCACGAAAGCCAAGGUAGCAAACGGGAUUAGAUACCCCGGUAGUCUUGGCUGUAAACGAUGAGCACUUGUUUGAAGGGUCCUCCAUAGCCUUUCAGACGUAGCGAAAGUGUUAAGUGCUCCGCCUGGGGA